UACGUAGGGUGCAAGCGUUAAUCGGAAUUACUGGGCGUAAAGCGUGCGCAGGCGGUUGUGCUAGACAGAUGUGAAAUCCCCGGGCUCAACCUGGGAAUUGCAUUUGUGACUGCACGGCUAGAGUGUGUCAGAGGGGGGUAGAAUUCCACGUGUAGCAGUGAAAUGCGUAGAUAUGUGGAGGAAUACCGAUGGCGAAGGCAGCCCCCUGGGAUAACACUGACGCUCAUGCACGAAAGCGUGGGGAGCAAACAGG
rnacentral:rRNA from 1 species